rnacentral:lncRNA from 1 species
UGCUGAGGCGGCAUUGGGCAUGGAGCAUCCGAGGGUCCAAGCUUUCCCCUGAGAGGCCUCACACUUGAACUUAGAGGAAGAGUGAGUGGCCCUGGAGCUGGGCCUUCCAGUAGGAGCAGGGUUUCUGCAGGGAAGCAGAGAGAGGAGCCCGGGAGAAGGCACACGAUGAGGAAACUGCCGCUCAGAGACGGCAGCCGACCCAGCCAAGGCCGCACAGCCAGGAUUCAAAGCCAUACCGCUCAGCUCCUGCCUCCAGGCUCUGCCUUUGCAUGUGGCUUCUCCUGGCUCCUGGACCCUUCCCCGGCCCUCCCAGCUGGCUGUGCUGUGACAGUGGGCGGGGGAGUGCCAAGGCUCUGCCCUGCCCCCCGCCCUUGGCAUCUCCGGUCAAUAUGGCACUCACAGCUCCCUGGGCAUGGACCCCCUCCUGCCAUCCCCACUUAAAGUGAUACUUUAAUAAAUUAUGCUUUUAUGUUA